rnacentral:rRNA from 1 species
AACAAACGCUGGCGGCGUGCCUAAUACAUGCAAGUCGAACGGGGAAAGCUUUCGGGUGAGUACUAGUGGCGCACGGGUGAGGAACGCGUGGAUAAUCUGCCUUAGAGUGGGGGAUAACUAGUCGAAAGAUUAGCUAAUACCGCAUAAGACUACAGGAGCUGCGGCUCAAGGGGUCAAAGGUUUUUCGCUCUAAGAUGAGUCCGCGUAAGAUUAGCUAGUUGGUGAGGUAACGGCUCACCAAGGCGACGAUCUUUAACUGGUCUGAGAGGAUGAUCAGUCACACUGGAACUGAGACACGGUCCAGACUCCUACGGGAGGCAGCAGUAGGGAAUAUUGCACAAUGGAGGAAACUCUGAUGCAGCGACGCCGCGUGAGUGAUGAAGGCUUUCGGGUCGUAAAGCUCUGUCGCAGGGGAAUAACACAAUGAAUGUACCCUGUAAGAAAGGAUCGGCUAACUUCGUGCCAGCCGCCGCAGUAAAAC